rnacentral:tRNA from 4 species
GAGAGAUGGUCGAGCUGGCUUAAGGCACCGGUCUUGAAAACCGGCGUACCUUUACGGGUACCGUGGGUUCAAAUCCCACUCUCUCC